rnacentral:rRNA from 1 species
AUUGAACGCUGGCGGAAUGCUUUACACAUGCAAGUCGAGCGGCAGCACGGGGGCAACCCUGGUGGCGAGCGGCGAACGGGUGAGUAAUACAUCGGAACAUGCCCAGUCGUGGGGGAUAACACUUCGAAAGAAGUGCUAAUACCGCAUACGUCCUGAGGGAGAAAGCGGGGGAUCGCAAGACCUCGCGCGAUUGGAGUGUCCGAUGUCAGAUUAGCUAGUUGGUGGGGUAAAGGCCUACCAAGGCAACGAUCUGUAGCUGGUCUGAGAGGAUGAUCAGCCACACUGGGACUGAGACACGGCCCAGACUCCUACGGGAGGCAGCAGUGGGGAAUUUUGGACAAUGGGGGCAACCCUGAUCCAGCCAUUCCGCGUGAGUGAAGAAGGCCUUCGGGUUGUAAAGCUCUUUCGGCAGGAACGAAACGGUGAGCUCUAACAUAGCUCGCUAAUGACGGUACCUGAAGAAGAAGCACCGGCUAACUACGUG